AAAAUCGAAAGAACCUACUUCAACACACAUUUAUAGAAUUAUCUUCAUAUAUGAAGAUGCUGUAGUAUAUUAUACUAAAGUACUUGGAGUUAAUAUGUGGCUGAGCACGAGCAUGGUCUCAACCAAAUGACUGAAACCAGUGAAAAAAUAAUAAUAAACGAUUUUAUGAAGUACAAAGUGUAAAUGACACAUACGAAUUUAUACAUACAUAAGAUUUUGUGUCCGGUUAAUGAAACCCCUGUUUACGGUGGACCUUCAUAAUCAUCCAAUAAAUAACAAAAAUAUUUAAA
rnacentral:lncRNA from 1 species